rnacentral:rRNA from 1 species
GCAGUCCGAACGGCAGCACGGGUGCUUGCACCUGGUGGCGAGUGGCGAACGGGUGAGUAAUACAUCGGAACAUGUCCUGUAGUGGGGGAUAGCCCGGCGAAAGCCGGAUUAAUACCGCAUACGAUCUACGGAUGAAAGCGGGGGACCUUCGGGCCUCGCGCUAUAGGGUUGGCCGAUGGCUGAUUAGCUAGUUGGUGGGGUAAAGGCCUACCAAGGCGACGAUCAGUAGCUGGUCUGAGAGGACGACCAGCCACACUGGGACUGAGACACGGCCCAGACUCCUACGGGAGGCAGCAGUGGGGAAUUUUGGACAAUGGGCGAAAGCCUGAUCCAGCAAUGCCGCGUGUGUGAAGAAGGCCUUCGGGUUGUAAAGCACUUUUGUCCGGAAAGAAAUCCUUGGCUCUAAUACAGUCGGGGGAUGACGGUACCGGAAGAAUAAGCACCGGCUAACUACGUGCCAGCAGCCGCGGUAAUACGUAGGGUGCAACCUUUAAUCGGAAUUACUGGGCGUAAAGCGUGCGCAGGCGGUUUGCUAACACCGAUGUGAAAUCCCCGGGCUCAACCUGGGAACUGCAUUGGUGACUGGCAGGCUAGAGUAUGGCAGAGGGGGGUAGAAUUCCACGUGUAGCAGUGAAAUGCGUAGAGAUGUGGAGGAAUACCGAUGGCGAAGGCUGCCCCCUGGGCCAAUACAGACGCUCAUGCACGAAAGCGUGGGGAGCAAACAGGAUUAGAUACCCUGGUAGUCCACGCCCUAAACAAUGUCAACUAGUUGUUGGGGAUUCAUUUCCUUAGUAACGUAUCUAACGCGUGAAGUUGACGCCCUGGGGAGUACGGUCGCAAGAUUAAAACUCAAAGGAAUUGACGGGGACCCGCACAAGCGGUGGAUGAUGUGGAUUAAUUCGAUGCAACGCAAAAAACCUUAGCCUACCCUUGACAGGCGGGGAAUCCCGCCUAGUUGUGGGGGUGGUCGUACCAGAACCAGCACCCGCCCCCCGCGUAGGGAAAGAGCAGUAUUGUUCUUGGGGAAGAGAGUUUUUUGCCUCCCCCCCGCCGCGCCCCCAACCCAUGUUCUUUUUUAGGAGGAUUUGUCUUUUUGAGGGGACGCCACCUUGCAACACCCGGAAGGGGGGGGGGGUGGGCGGGGGCCCCAGGGGGGGGAGGGCGGCGGGCUAAAAAAAAAAAAAGAGGGGGGAAGAUUGGUGGGUCGCCCCCCGGGGGGGGAAAAGCCAAAAAAAACCUUUUGUUGGUGGGGGGGGGGGGCCCUGCCUUGCCCUGAAUUAAAUUAUAGUUAAG